UAAACGACUCUCGGCAACGAUAUCUCGGCUCUCGCAUCGAUGAAGAACGUAGCGAAAUGCGAUACUUGGUGUGAAUUGCAGAAUCCCGUGAACCAUCGAGUCUUUGAACGCAAGUUGCGCCCGAAGCCAUUAGGCCGAGGGCACGCCUGCCUGGGCGUCACAC
rnacentral:rRNA from 1 species